CUCGAGAUCAAACAUCCCGAAGAGGCGGUUUACAAAGUACUCAUUCCAGUCAUCGAACUAACUCCGCCUUUCUUUCGAUUUGCGUAAAUUCUUGGCAUUAUUUGAGCCAUCAAGGAGCAAUUUACAACUAUGAGACCAAACUUCCAAAAGGAAAAAACACAUCAAACAAAGAUAGCAAAGGAAGCUAUUGAUUCAUGUGUUCUUUCUAGUCCCGCCCAUAUAUUGAUUGACACGGUGACGUUUGAGUCCUUCUUGGAACUAUUUAAGUUCUAACGUCUUCUUCCACUAGUCAUCGUUCACUGGAACCUUCAAAGGCACGUCAAUUUUCACCUGCAUUGCUUUCUACAAACUUAAUCCGCUACAAUGGGUUCUUUGAAAGGCGAAACCCUAACGCUCAAGAGCAGGGGACAAACGGUCACCGUCAACUGGAAGCAGGGCUCAUUCGUUGGAUUUGGUGGAGACAGAAGUCAAAACUAUGUCCUGUGCGACUACACCACCGGCAACGGUAACAGUGUGCCAGUUUACAUUCAGGGUGGAUACGAUAUACCACAGAAGCUGAAAAUAGAUUCCAGGCUGCAGUAUGGCACACAGGAUAAUGUCCUGUUCUUUGUGUACCAUGACAAGAAUCAGACACCAUACCAAGAGCGAUUCAGGUGCAAUGCCCUACAGCAGUUCGUCUACGCAGCAAACACCGUUCUGAAAAUGGCCAAAGGGAUUGACAUCUCCUGGGCGGUGGGAAACUAUCUGGUCAACGUGUGAACGAUCAACAAACUGUGUGUUUGACCCCUGAGAACCAUCUUGGUUGGCUCAGUUAAUAUAGUUCGGUCAUGCUAGGCGAGUACUGCCCAGUGCUAAACUCUUAAGACAAGAACUUCUGCCAUAAAAAGGUUCCAUCCCAGCUAUUUUAUGUUUUUGGGUAGUAGCAUCAAAUUUAUGACAAUCAAACACUUUCUAGUUGCUUUAUAAUGUGAAUGACAAUUUCCUCUCUCGCGAGCGGAAAACCUUGUUAUAAUCUUGACAAGAAGAAAGGAGAUCUUGAUCUUUCCUGGUUAUGGAAAAAUAGGUCCAACAUUUAUAUGGUAUCACAAAAUUGAAAUAGUGACAGCAGAGUAAAACAGAGCUUGCCAUUUCAACUACACUAAGUACUUUCUAACUAGCUGGAUUUUCAACUUUGAUUUUGAGUUUACUUACUGUCAACUGUGAGAUUUGAGAAAUAUUAAUGUUUGCUUUCGUUAUUUUAAUUAUUGACAUUUUUAACUUUUGGCAGGGACAACUUUUUUGUGUGUGAAAGUUCUUAUCAUAAGCGGUUUUUCUUUGUGUGUGUCAUAACUGGAAAUUUGCCACUUUUUUUUAAAUAAGAUAGAUUAUGACUUGUAAGACUUUGUGCCAAAAAUGCUCAGCGUUUUAUCAUCGCCUUCAAACAGGUAAUACUUAGUAAAAAAAAUAAAGCUGGAAUUUACACUGUAAUUUCCGUUUUCAG